GCCCAGCCGUAAACAAUUAACUUACACCUAUAAGCGCCAGGGAAUUACGAGCUACGCUUAAAACCCAAAGGAUUUGACGGUGUCCCACCCACCUAGAGGAGCCUGUUCUACAAUCGACAAUACCCGCUAUACCUAACCCCCUCUUGCUAUUCAGUCUGUAUACCUCCGUCGAAAGCUUACCAUGUGAACGUUUACAGUAAGUACAAUAGCCCCUCAACGGCAACACGUCAGGUCAAGGUGCAACUUAAGUGGUGGGAAGCAAUUGGCUACAAUUUCUAGUCUAGAACAAACGAAAAACUAUGUGAAAUCAUGGUCAUGAAGGCGGAUUUAGCAGUAAAAAGAAAAUAGAGUGUUCUUUUUAACCUGGCUCUGGGACGCGUACACACCGCCCGUCACUCUCUUCGAUAGUAUUACAAACAGUCCAUAACCAAUCUACACGUUUUAGAAGAGGGAAGUCGUAACAUGGUAAGUGUACUGGAAAGUGCACUUGGAAUAAACAAAAUGUAGCUUAACAAAGCUCUUCGCUUACACCGAGAAGAUAUCUGUUCGAAUCAGAUCAUUUUGAGCCUCAAAUCUAGCCCACAUGACCCGCAUGAAAACCUUAAACUACUGAAAAAAAUAAAUCAUUUUAACAUUCUAGUAUAGGUGAUAGAAAAAUUACUAAGCGCCUUAGAAAUAGUACCGCAAGGGAAAUAUGAAAUAGAAGUGAAACAAUAUUGCAGCCACAAACAGCAGAGACAUCACCUUG
rnacentral:rRNA from 1 species